rnacentral:rRNA from 1 species
AUUGAACGCUGGCGGCAGGCCUAACACAUGCAAGUCGAGCGGAUGAAGGGAGCUUGCUCCUGGAGUCAGCGGCGGACGGGUGAGUAAUGCCUAGGAAUCUGCCUGGUAGUGGGGGAUAACGUCCGGAAACGGGCGCUAAUACCACAUACGUCCUGAUGGAGAAAGUGGGGGAUCUUCGGACCGCACGCUAUCAGAUGAGCCUAGGUCGGAUUAGAUAGUUUGUGGGGUAAAGGCCUACCAAGGCGACGAUCCGUAACUGGUCUGAGAGGAUGAUCAGUCACACUGGAACUGAGACACGGUCCAGACUCCUACGGGAGGCAGCAGUGGGGAAUAUUGGACAAUGGGCGAAAGCCUGAUCCAGCCAUGCCGCGUGUGUGAAGAAGGUCUUCGGAUUGUAAAGCACUUUAAGUUGGGAGGAAGGGCAGUAAGUUAAUACCUUGCUGUUUUGACGUUACCAACAGAAUAAGCACCGGCUAACUUCGUG